UACGUAGGGCGCGAGCGUUGUCCGGAAUUAUUGGGCGUAAAGAGCUCGUAGGUGGCUUGUUGCGUCUGCCGUGAAAGCCCGUGGCUUAACUACGGGUCUGCGGUGGAUACGGGCAGGCUAGAGGCUGGUAGGGGCAAGCGGAAUUCCUGGUGUAGCGGUGAAAUGCGCAGAUAUCAGGAGGAACACCGGUGGCGAAGGCGGCUUGCUGGGCCAGUUCUGACGCUGAGGAGCGAAAGCGUGGGGAGCGAACAGGAUUAGAUACCCUGGUAGUCCACGCUGUAAACGUUGGGCGCUAGGUGUGGGGGUCUUCCACGAUUCCUGUGCCGUAGCUAACGCAUUAAGCGCCCCGCCUGGGGAGUACGGCCGCAAGGCUAAA
rnacentral:rRNA from 1 species